rnacentral:rRNA from 1 species
UGCGUAGGCGGGCUGUCAAGUCAGAUGUGAAAUACCGGGGCUCAACUCCGGGGCUGCAUUUGAAACUGAUGGUCUUGAGUGAAGUAGAGGCAGGCGGAAUUCCUAGUGUAGCGGUGAAAUGCGUAGAUAUUAGGAGGAACACCAGUGGCGAAGGCGGCCUGCUGGGCUUUAACUGACGCUGAGGCACGAAAGCAUGGGGAGCAAACA